GAGGAAAAGAAACUAACAAGGAUUCCCCUAGUAACUGCGAGUGAAGAGGGAAAAGCUCAAAUUUAAAAUCUGGCGGUUCUUGCAGCCGUCCGAGUUGUAAUUUAGAGAAGUGUUAUCCGCGCUGGACCGUGUACAAGUCUCCUGGAAUGGAGCGUCAUAGAGGGUGAGAAUCCCGUCUUUGACACGGACUGCCAGGGCUUUGUGAUGCGCUCUCGAAGAGUCGAGUUGUUUGGGAAUGCAGCUCAAAAUGGGUGGUAAAUUCCAUCUAAAGCUAAAUAUUGGCGAGAGACCGAUAGCGAACAAGUACCGUGAGGGAAAGAUGAAAAGAACUUUGGAAAGAGAGUUAAACAGUACGUGAAAUUGUUGAAAGGGAAACGCUUGAAGUCAGUCGCGUUGGCUGGGGAUCAACCUUGCUCUUUUGCUUGGCGUACUUCUCAGUUGAUGGGUCAGCAUCAGUUUUGACCGCUGGAUAAAGAUUGAGGGAAUGUGGCAUCCUCGGAUGUGUUAUAGCCCUUAGUUGUAUACAGCGGUUGGGACUGAGGAACUCAGCACGCCGCAAGGCCGGGUCUUUGACCACGUACGUGCUUAGGAUGCUGGCAUAAUGGCUUUAAUCGACCCGUCUUGAAACACGGACCAAGGAGUCUAACAUGCCUGCGAGUGUUUGGGUGGAAAACCCGAGCGCGUAAUGAAAGUGAAAGUUGAGAUCUCUGUCGUGGAGAGCAUUGACGCCCAGACCAGACCUUUUGUGACGGACCUGCGGUAGAGCAUGUAUGUUGGGACCCGAAAGAUGGUGAACUAUGCCUGAAUAGGGUGAAGCCAGAGGAAACUCUGGUG
rnacentral:rRNA from 1 species